UACGUAGGGUGCGAGCGUUGUCCGGAAUUAUUGGGCGUAAAGAGCUCGUAGGCGGUUUGUCGCGUCGAUCGUGAAAACUUGGGGCUUAACCCUGAGCUUGCGGUCGAUACGGGCAUGACUGGAGUUCGGCAGGGGAGACUGGAAUUCCUGGUGUAGCGGUGAAAUGCGCAGAUAUCAGGAGGAACACCGGUGGCGAAGGCGGGUCUCUGGGCCGAUACUGACGCUGAGGAGCGAAAGCAUGGGUAGCGAACAGG
rnacentral:rRNA from 1 species